rnacentral:rRNA from 1 species
UCCGUAGGCGGGCUAAUAAGUCAGGGGUGAAAUCCCACAGCUUAACUGUGGAACUGCCUUUGAUACUGUUAGUCUUGAGUUAUAUGGAAGUAGAUAGAAUGUGUAGUGUAGCGGUGAAAUGCAUAGAUAUUACACAGAAUACCGAUUGCGAAGGCAGUCUACUACGUAUAUACUGACGCUAAUGGACGAAAGCGUGGAGAGCGAACAGGAUUAGAUACCCUGGUAGUCC